UAAUUAUAUACAUCAUAUUUUAAUUAUGAAAUAAUGAAUAUGAUCUCAUCAUAUAGCAUCAUAGUGAACACAAUUCAAUAUUACAUAGCAACAUUUCAAAAUUAUAUGCAUCAUGAUUUAAUUAUGAAAUAAUGAAUAUGAUAUCAUCAUAUUAAUAUCAUAUUAAAAUAUAAAUAAUGAUCAUAUCAUAUUUAUAAUAUUACCUUUAAAUCAUUAACAUAUCAUCAUAUGAUUUAAUUCUAACAAGGUGGCUCUAAUACCACUGAAAGGUUUUAAU
rnacentral:lncRNA from 1 species